rnacentral:rRNA from 1 species
GAUGAACGCUGGCGGCGUGCCUAAUACAUGCAAGUCGAGCGAACGGACGAGAAGCUUUCUUCUCUGAUGUUAGCGGCGGACGGGUGAGUAACACGUGGAUAACCUACCUAUAAGACUGGGAUAACUUCGGGAAACCGGAGCUAAUACCGGAUAAUAUUUUGAACCGCAUGGUUCAAAAGUGAAAGACGGUCUUGCUGUCACUUAUAGAUGGAUCCGCGCUGCAUUAGCUAGUUGGUAAGGUAACGGCUUACCAAGGCAACGAUGCAUAGCCGACCUGAGAGCGUGAUCGGCCACACUGGAACUGAGACACGGUCCAGACUCCUACGGGAGGCAGCAGUAGGGAAUCUUCCGCAAUGGGCGAAAGCCUGACGGAGCAACGCCGAGUGAGUGAUGAAGGUCUUCGGAUCGUAAAACUCUGUUAUUAGGGAAGAACAUAUGUGUAAGUAACUGUGCACAUCUUGACGGUACCUAAUCAGAAAGCCACGGCUAACUACGUG